CCCGAGCGCNGCUACCAUGCAGUCGACGAACCUUUCGGGGUGAGUGGCGGACGGGUGAGUAACGCGUGAGGAUCUGCCCUUAGGCGGGGGACAACUUUUGGAAACGGAAGCUAAUACCCCAUAUGUCGAGAGAUGAAAGCUUAAUGUGCCUGAGGAAGAGCUCGCGUCUGAUUAGCUAGUUGGUGGGGUAAGGGCUUACCAAGGCGACGAUCAGUAGCUGUUCUGAGAGGAAGAUCAGCCACACUAGGACUGAGACACGGCCCAGACUCCUACGGGAGGCAGCAGUGGGGAAUUUUCCGCAAUGGGCGCAAGCCUGACGGAGCAACGCCGCGUGAGGGAGGAAUGUCUGUGGAUUGUAAACCUCUUUUCUCUGUGAAGAAGAUCUGACGGUAGCAGAGGAAUCAGCAUCGGCUAACUCCGUGCCAGCAGCCGCGGUAAGACGGAGAAUGCAAGCGUUAUCCGGAAUUAUUGGGCGUAAAGCGUCCGUAGGCGGUUAAAUAAGUCAGUUGUUAAAGACUGCAGCUCAACUGUGGGAGAGCAACUGAAACUGUUUGACUAGAGUAUGGUAGGGGUAGAGGGAAUUCCUAGUGUAGCGGUGAAAUGCGUAGAUAUUAGGAAGAACACCAGUGGCGAAGGCGCUCUACUGGGCCAAGACUGACGCUGAUGGACGAAAGCUAGGGGAGCGAAAGGGAUUAGAUACCCCUGUAGUCCUAGCUGUAAACGAUGGAUACUAGGUGUUGUGCGUAUCGACCCGUGCAGUACCGCAGCAAACGCGUUAAGUAUCCCGCCUGGGGAGUACGCACGCAAGUGUGAAACUCAAAGGAAUUGACGGGGGCCCGCACAAGCGG
rnacentral:rRNA from 1 species